GUUUCCUGCCACAAAUCCCUGUCAAGAUGAUGCUUGACGGGGAUUUAUUUUUUUGAGCU
rnacentral:sRNA from 1 species